GGAAUAAAAGUCGUAACAAGGUUUCCGUAGGUGAACCUGCGGAAGGAUCAUUAUUGUAUAACCGAGGUGCGAGGGCUGUCGCUGACCCGAAAGGUCGUGCACGCCCGAGUGCCCUCACACACAUCCAUCUCACCCCUAUGUGCACCACCGCGUGGGUCCCCCUUUGGCUUGUUCGGAGGGGGGCUUACGUUUUCACACAAACUUUGUAUGCAGUGUAGAAUGUAUUUUUUGUUUUUGCGAUCACGCAAUCAAUACAGCUUUCAACAACGGAUCUCUUGGCUCUC
rnacentral:misc_RNA from 1 species